rnacentral:rRNA from 1 species
UACGUAGGGGGCAAGCGUUGUCCGGAAUUAUUGGGCGUAAAGAGCGCGUAGGCGGUCCGGUAAGUCGGGUGUGAAAACUCUGGGCUCAACCCAGAGACGCCACCCGAUACUGCUGUGACUUGAGUACGGUAGGGGAGUGGGGAAUUCCUGGUGUAGCGGUGAAAUGCGCAGAUAUCAGGAGGAACACCAGUGGCGAAGGCGCCACUCUGGGCCGUAACUGACGCUGAGGAGCGAAAGCGUGGGUAGCAAACAGG